rnacentral:rRNA from 1 species
CCUACGGGUGGCAGCAGUCGAGAAUUAUUCACAAUGGGGGAAACCCUGAUGGUGCGACGCCGCGUGGGGGAAUGAAGGUCUUCGGAUUGUAAACCUCUGUCAUGUGGGAGCAAAUUAAAAAGAUAGUACCACAAGAGGAAGAGACGGCUAACUCUGUGCCAGCAGCCGCGGUAAUACAGCGGUCUCAAGCGUUGUUCGGAAUCACUUGGCGUAAGGCGUGCGUAGGCUGUUUCGUAAGUCGUGUGUGAAAGGCGCGGGCUCAACCCGCGGACGGCACAUGAUACUGGGAGACUAGAGUAAUGGAGGGGGAACCGGAAUUCGCGGUGUAGCAGUGAAAUGCGUAGAUAUCGAGAGGAACACUCGUGGCGAAGGCGGGUUCCUGGACAUUAACUGACGCUGAGGCACGAAGGCCAGGGGAGCGAAAGGGAUUAGAUACCCGAGUAGUC